rnacentral:sRNA from 1 species
CCCCUGAAGGCUCAGGGGCCAGUCUGGAGAUAGCCAUGUUUGAUUCCAGGGUUGGGAGGACGGCCCGUGCUGGGAAAACUGGACAGGCCUUCACACUGCUCCUGAAAGUGCAGGUGAGGCUGCGAGGUCUUGGGAGUUUCUGGUGCUGGAGGGUGUUAAGGGGGCUGGCCCAAGAACCCCCUUCCACCAUGAGCUUCCCUCCAGGAGAGGAGAUUCCUCCGGAUGCUGACUGAAGCGGGGGCACCUGAGUUGCAGCGGCACGAGCUCUCCAGCAAGCUGCUGCAGCCGCUGGUUCCUCGGUACGAGGAGGCCCUGUCCCAGCUGGAGGAGUCCGUCAAGGAAGAGCACAAGCAGAGGGCGGCCUAGGCUGGGGCUCAGAGGGCCGGAGGGACUGAGCGCUCACCCCCCUGACCCUCCUUCCAGAGCAGAGCUGACCACUGGAUGCUGCAUGUGAGGAAAGGAAUCCCCCAGUGGACACAGCCUUCCUCCCCAAGCACGUGGUCUCUGCGCCAGGCAGCCCGGGCGUCAGAGCUCAAGCACCCGCCCAGACUGGAGACUUUAGGGUCUGUCACUUUCACAGUGCGAAGGUCAGCAUGGCCGCUGGUGAUGAAGCCUUAGUAAAACGGUGAAAAGUACUCCCCAACAGACGCAGGCACCUGUCAUGCUUCUCCCAAACAGACGCAGGCACCUGUCAUGCUUUUGGCUGAGAGCUGGGGGGAUUAACCUUGAGCUAAUGUUAAAAAUCAAGCUCUUGGCCAGGCGUGGUGGCUCAUGCCUGUAAUUCCAGCACUUUGGGAGGCCAAGGCAGGUGGAUCAUGAGGUCAGGAGAUCAAGACCAUCCUUCCUAACACGGUGAAAGUCCAUCUCUACUAAAAAUACAAAAAAAAAAAAAAAAAAAAAAUUAGCCGGGCGUGGUGGUGGGCGCCUAUAGUCCCAGCUACUCGGGAGGCUGAGGCAGGAGAAUGGCGUGAACCCGGGAGGCAGAGUUUGCAGUGAGCCAAGACUGCGCCACUGCACUCCAGCCUGGGUGACAGAGUGAGACUCUGUCAAAAAAAAAAAGCUCCCCUCCCCAGAUUUGUGAACCUUGUGAUUGUUCAGUGGACACCUCACGUAUUGGUGGUGGGAAGGUCACACGUGGAGACAGCUGGGCAGAGCCUUGGGGUGUUAAACGCAGUCACUCAUGACCCGGCACCUCCUCUCCUACGCACCUUGUACACCCCAGAUCAGUGAGACCUGUAUCUACACAGAAACGCACACAAAUCUCUCAGCAGCAUUGGUCACAGUAGCGAAAAUCUAGAAACUAACCACAUGUCCAUCAGCUGAUGAAUGGAGAAUAAAACGUGGGAAAUCCACACCAGGAGAGAAAAAGGAGCGAGGCACCAGCACAGGCACCACGUGGAUGAACCCGGAACCUGACACUAAGUGAAGGAAGGCUCCGGCUAUAGGGAUGUCCCAGGCACAGCCAGACAUUGAAGGGUGCUGGGGCUGGGAGUGAGCAGGGGUUGGGGCUGGGGACACAGUGGCCAGUGUGUGGGUUUGUUUUGGGGAUGAUGAAAAUGUUCUUGGAUUGUGCUGAUAGCUGCUCACCUCUAAACCUUUUACUAAAAACCAUGGACCGGGUGGAUACAGUGUGUGAAUUCUGUCAGUCCAGCGCUUUGUUUGAAAAAGGUGGAUGAUGCCAACAUCACUAACCACCAGGGAGAUGCAGGCCACGGCCACACCCGGCUCCCGGCUCACCGGAGUUGUGAGGAUGGAAACACCAGCCCACCCCCCUCAAUUCAGACCUCAGCUUAGAUGCAAAGAAUGUCUGGGACGGGGACUGGCAGCUGAUGAGAGAUGCAACCACUGAACCUGUGGACUGUGUUCAAACAAAUGCUAGCAGAACAUAAAGGCGACUGUUACAGGAGGCAGAAAGAAAUGAUUUAGGUAGAUGGGGUAAAGCCAGUCCCCA